UACGAAGGGGGCUAGCGUUGCUCGGAAUCACUGGGCGUAAAGCGCACGUAGGCGGACUCUUAAGUCAGGGGUGAAAUCCUGGAGCUCAGCUCCAGAACUGCCUUUGAUACUGGGAGUCUUGAGUUCGGGAGAGGUGAGUGGAACUGCGAGUGUAGAGGUGAAAUUCGUAGAUAUUCGCAAGAACACCAGUGGCGAAGGCGGCUCACUGGCCCGAUACUGACGCUGAGGUGCGAAAGCGUGGGGAGCGAACAGG
rnacentral:rRNA from 1 species